rnacentral:rRNA from 1 species
UACGUAGGCAGCAAGCGUUGUUCGGAAUUACUGGGCGUAAAGAGUGUGUAGGCGGUGCUCUAAGUUCGGUGUGAAAUCUCCCGGCUUAACUGGGAGGGUGCGCCGGAAACUGGAGUGCUUGAGCGCGGGAGAGGAAAGCGGAAUUCCUGGUGGAGCGGUGAAAUGCGCAGAGAUCAGGAGGAACACCCGUAGCGAAGGCGGCACUCUGGGCCGAUACUGACACUGAGGAGCGAAAGCGUGGGGAGCGAACAGG